rnacentral:rRNA from 1 species
AUUGAACGCUGGCGGCAGGCCUAACACAUGCAAGUCGAGCGAGCGGCGGACGGGUGAGUAAUGUAUGGGGACUGCCCGAUAGAGGGGGAUAACUACUGGAAACGGUAGCUAAUACCGCAUACUAUCGGAUAACCCAUAUGGAAUUAGCUAGUAGGUGAGGUAAUGGCUCACCUAGGCGACGAUCCCUAGCUGGUCUGAGAGGAGGAUCAGCCAAGCUGGGCCUGAGACACGGCCCAGACUCCUACGGAGGCAGCGGUGGGGAAUAUUGCACAAUGGGCGCGAGCCUGAUGCAACCAUGCCGCGUGUAUGAGGAAGGCCCUAGGGUUGUAAAGUACUUUCAGUCGGGAGGCGUUACCGACAGAAGAAGCACCGGCUAACUCCGUGCCAGCAGCCGCGGUAAUUC